rnacentral:lncRNA from 1 species
CAUUCCACAUUAUAAUAAUAAUAAUAAUAAUAAUAAUAAUGGUAUUUGCUAAGCACUUACUAUAUUCCAGGCACUGUCCUAAGCACUGGGAUGGAUACAAGCAAAUCAGGUUGGACGCAGUCCCUGUCCCACGUGGGGCUCACAGUUUCAAUCCUUAUUUUACAGCAAAGUGGCAGAGCUGGAAUUAGAACCCAUGGUCUUUCAACUCUCAGGCUCAUCCUCUGACCACUCUGUCAUGCUGUUUCUCCCACCUGGGGCUAAUAGCAUUGAUCCCCAUUUUACAGAUGAAGCAACUGAAGCACAGAGAAGCUAAGUGACUUGCCUAAGGUCUUAUAGCAGACAAGUAGUGGAGUCAGGAUUGGAACCCAGGUCCUUUUGACUCCCAGGCCCAUGCUCUAGGACACACUGCUUCUAUGUCACUGGCUUCUGAAUCACUGGCCCUUCCUCCCUCUCUCCUCCUUUUCCAUCUUCCUUCCUCUCUCUCUCUCUCUCCUUCCAGCCUCCCAUUCUGCAGAUGCAUAUUGAUGCAGUUCAUCCAAAGACAAAGAAAGACAAAGGAGAGGUUUUGACCCAGUUGGCCAGUAGACUGAUGUGGACUUGCCUAACCCUUUUCUCCUGUCUCUCAGGGCACUAAGCUGGAAACCAAGUCUGACCAAGUUCCUGCAGUGUGGUUCUCUAUGCAGCUGAUUGGCUCAGAGAGACCAGACCGGUUCUUGACUACUUCCAACAGCAAGGAUUUUCCCAGUAUGAACCCCUGGAUACUGGACUCACAUCUUGAGGCUAUCGCAGAGUUGAGGAGCAAACCCAGUGUGGAGUGUGAGUCUCUGGCCCUCCUCCUCCCACCUUUCCCAAUGGAAGGUUCCCUCCAGGUAACCUCACAGGAUGAAGUAAGUACUUAAAUCUUCCCAGAACCUCAAUCCUGGGUGGGCCAAAUCCCUGAGUGAUCGAGAUGACUCAUGUUUCUUGCCUGAGACCACCCUGCUGCACAUCUCUACAGGCUCCCAGUGCCCCAUGAAGAUUGUGAGAAGGCAAAUAUUUACCUUGACCCCCACUGUUCAGCCAGGGACUCAGAAGCUCAGAGAGGAGGACCAAUGAAAAGCCAUGUGGCCUAGUGGGAAGAGUACAGGGAGUCAGAGGACCUGGGUUCGUACCAUGGCUUGGACACCUGUCUGCUGUGCCUCAGUUACCUAUCUGUAAAAUGGGGAUUAAGACUGUAAAUCCCAUGUGGGACAUGGACUGUGUCCAACCUGAUUAGCUUGUAUCUACCCCUAAGCUUAGUAGAGUGUCUGGCACAUAGUAAGCAUUUAACAUGGAUGUGGCUAAAGCUAUGUUUUCUUAGUUUUUCCCCCCUUUUUAUCCAACAGCUCCCUUGAGGAACUCUGCCCCUGAAGUCACUGGGAAAUUGUCCCAUUGCCAUGGGGAGCCACAGCAGCCCUCUUAACCAAUGAGGACUGCCAGUGAGAGCUGCCCUAGGUCCUCUGCCAGCCUCGUCCUCUUUCCUGGCAUAUCUGCAGAUUCCUCCUAUCUUCCAUGGAUGCACAUGGGUUGGAGACCUGAGAUGGGUCACCCAGAGCUGCUAGCAAGGCCCUAGGAGCCUACUGUUAGCCCAUAAACUCCCAAACUGCUCAACACAGAGCUUCCCCAAAUCCAUCCACAUUCCGCCACUUUCAGCAUCCCCUCACACUGACAACAGCUAAAGCACUUCACCUCUUCAGCCAAGAACAUUGCAGCUCCACUAAGAGGAAUAAAAUGAAGAGGCCACUCUUUCCCAGAGCCAUUUCCCUAAGCACAUUCUGAAAUAUUCAUCAGUGAAUAUAUAAUCCGUUGCUCAGCUCUGGUUACAAACUCCCUCUGCUGCUCCACCUAUCGGGAGGCUGUCAGUAUUGGUGAGUACGGGAGACAAUGUCUCUAUGGGUCCCUGCUCUUUUGUUUCCCCAAGGAUCUAGUGCUGGGUAGGGGCAGCAUCUGGGGAUCAAGAUGGAAGAGCCAGUGAUGGGGAUGAAAAACCUUGUUUACUAACUUGUAACAGCAAAGCAAGAAAAUGGAAAGAGGAGACAAGAGAGAGGAAAGAUUUGGGGGAAGGAAAGGAGGUGGAGAAAUGAGAGAUAAACAAAAGGGAAAGAGUUAGAAAUGGAAAAGAGAGGAAGACAAAGGGCAGAAAUUUGUCCCCAAGAACAUGGCUGGGUCAACAGGUGCUAUCCUCGACACUGACACCCAGAGAACCUCUCAAGUUCAGCAGCCCUAAUGAAUGUGUUUGGAAAAUCUCUUGUCUGCAUCCACAAAGAAAUCUGGCCCUCCUGCAACACUCCAUCAUAACCAGAAAAGAACAAAAUUGGCAUUGCCCAUCUCCCACCUCUCUCCAGGAGUUAGGUACAGUUAGACCUGGGUAGAGUCUUCCCUGGGAGCUGGGGAUUGGGCUUAAUGACCUAUCCAAGUCCCCUUCCUUGACUGAGGAACAGCCUCAAUGGAGAGUUAUGGGGAUUCAAUGUCUCUUCUCCCUAUUUAGUCAAUCAUUCAUAUUUAUUGAGUCAUAUGCAGAGUGCUGUACUAAGCACCUGGGAGAAUUCUGUACAACAGAGUUGGUAGACACAUUCCCUGCUCACAAGGAGCUUGCAGUCUAGAGGGACUUAAGACUUAAACAGUGAGCCACACAUGGGAUAGGGAGUUUGUCCAAUCUGGUUAUCUCAUAUCUAUCCCAAUGCUUAAUGCUGUGUUUGGCAUAUACUACGUGCUUAAAUACCAUUAUUAUUAUUAUUAUUACCAAUUUAGUCCUAGUUCUUGUCCUGUCCCGCCCAUAUUGGACCACGUCUCUUGUGUAGACUCAUUCAGCUGGAAUCAGGCUUCUGUUGUCCUACCACCCCAUAUGUGACUGCUGAACUCUACUAAUCAUUCUUCCAAGCAUCAGACUUUUUUCACACUAGACCCAGGGUCAUUUAGAGAAGAGAACACACAUCUGGGUGCCAGAACUCCUAAAUCCUAAUCCAAGCCCUGCCAAAGGUUUGUAAAGUGAUCUUCACUCUCUGAUUGUCUCAGUUUCUCCCUCUACAGUUUGGGGUACUUCACAUUUGGCUGCAGUUGGUCACCUCCCUCUAUGGAGAAAAAAGACUCAUCUCUAAAGUGAUAGGAACCACCCAGAAGCAAAGUGUCAGGUCUCAAUAACAUGAAGAGCAUCCAAUUCCUCUCUUAACAGGAGUCAUUAGGUGACUUCCAGAAGAGAUUUUGGAAAAAAUGUAAAUGUUGUUAUUUUAUAUUAGCAAAGAGACAAACAGAAAAGACCACUGGGGGCUGAUUUGGCUGCAGGCCUCACUGGAUUCUCCUUGGGGAGUCUGAUUCCCACCUGCAGAGUCACAGGGCAGCUGUGCUAUUAUGUGCAAGAGUUUAUUUACCAGAAAUGCAGAAAUGGUUUUCCCAGCUCCCACCCAGUGGGGAAGGGGUGGAGCAUUCAGCCUCAUCGACUCACACAAGCCUCAUUUGUAACUCACCUUCAAGGAGCUGACUGGUGUGGUCCAAGGUUUAAAUCAAAGCCCAGGCCACCUGGUUUGCUCCCUUGGCUCCUUCCUGAGGAGAUUUGUGGCAGCCCCAAGGGCUCUCAUACCAGGGGAUGAAUAAUUGACAAGGGCUAUUUAAAGAUUCAGUGGAGUUUUUUCAACCUUGUCACCCUGGAGUAACUCAUUUCUGGCUCUCUUGGAAUAAAUUAUUUUUCCUUUCCCUCUCAUUAGCUUGAAUUUCUUUGUUUCAUUUGCCAACGUGGUUUUCUUCAAAAUCUCCCUUGGUCUUUCACCUGCCACUGUUGGGAAGUGCCUGGGAAGCUGGGUUCUGCUAUGGGUCAGUGGCAUAAAUAGGGCAAGGAAAAACCAAGCAAGCUACCCCUGCAUUGUCCAAGGUGUCUUCUCUCCCCACUCUCCAGGAAGGUUCUAGGUAGAAAAUAGAAUUUUACAGUUGCUUGCUAUGAGGCUCAGGCAGAGGAAGUGAUUUACUAAUGAACUCCCAGCAAUAGGCCAGCAUCCAAUGGCAAGGUAGAGAAACAGAACAGCAUAGUGGAUAGAGCACAGGCCUAAGGAGUCAGAUCAUUGGUUCUAAUCCCUGCUGUGCCACUUGUCUGCUGUGUUUCCUUGGGUAAAUCACUUCACUAUUCUGGGCCCCUGUUACCUCAUCUGUAAAAUGGGCAUUGAGACUGUGAGCCCCACAUGGGCCUUGGAUGGGUAUCCAACCCAAUUUGCUUGUACCCACCCUAGAGUUUAGGUGGGUAAGCUCUUAAUACCACAAUUAAGGUAACAAAACCACCACCUCAGGACGGCACAUAGCAGGGGCAGCUGUGUAUCUUCCAGCCCUUCUGUGAUGGUCACCAUUUGGACUCUUCUGCGUAGCACCCUUACCAUAGCCCUCAUCAGAAUGGUUGCCACAUACGUGCAGAGGUCUUCCCCUCCUCUCAAAUACAUGGCAGCCAGCUUUAGUUUUAUUUUGUAUCCUUUGCUUCUCCACCUCCAGAAAUAAGGGGUUCUUUUUAAAAAGUUUAGC